CCUACGGGUGGCUGCAGUAGGGAAUCUUCGGCAAUGGACGGAAGUCUGACCGAGCAACGCCGCGUGAGUGAAGAAGGUUUUCGGAUCGUAAAGCUCUGUUGUAAGAGAAGAACGAGUGUGAGAGUGGAAAGUUCACACUGUGACGGUAACUUACCAGAAAGGGACGGCUAACUACGUGCAAGCAGCCGCGGUAAUACGUAGGGCCCGAGCGUUAUCCGGAUUUAUUGGGCGUAAAGCGAGCGCAGGCGGUUAGAUAAGUCUGAAGUUAAAGGCUGUGGCUUAACCAUAGUACGCUUUGGAAACUGUUUAACUUGAGUGCAGAAGGGGAGAGUGGAAUUCCAUGUGUAGCGGUGAAAUGCGUAGAUAUAUGGAGGAACACCGGUGGCGAAGGCGGCUCUCUGGUCUGUAACUGACGCUGAUGCUCGAAAGCGUGGGGAGCAAACAGGAUUAGAUACCCUAGUAGUC
rnacentral:rRNA from 1 species